rnacentral:rRNA from 1 species
UGGGGAAUUUUGGACAAUGGGGGCAACCCUGAUCCAGCAAUGCCGCGUGUGUGAAGAAGGCCUUCGGGUUGUAAAGCACUUUUGUCCGGGAAGAAAUCGCACCUGAUAAUACCGGGUGUGGAUGACGGUACCGGAAGAAUAAGGACCGGCUAACUACGUGCCAGCAGCCGCGGUAAUACGUAGGGUCCAAGCGUUAAUCGGAAUUACUGGGCGUAAAGCGUGCGCAGGCGGUUGUGCAAGACCGAUGUGAAAUCCCCGGGCUUAACCUGGGAAUUGCAUUGGUGACUGCACGGCUAGAGUGUGUCAGAGGGGGGUAGAAUUCCACGUGUAGCAGUGAAAUGCGUAGAGAUGUGGAGGAAUACCGAUGGCGAAGGCAGCCCCCUGGGAUAACACUGACGCUCAUGCACGAAAGCGUGGGGAGCAAACAG